CUUACCGUGUACGAAUACAGCACCCCACACGAAUAAAGCCCUACAGUAAAAGUAUGGACGACUGACACCACAAAACUGAAAAAAGCUGUUCCAAUCGAGCAAAGCGGUGCAUUUUGACGGUUCGAUUGGAACAACUUUUGACAGACGUCCAUACUUUUACUGUAGGGCUUUACACACGAAUUGCCGGCGACAAAGUGACGUCAUUUGACAUUGGGCGACUUAAAGACUGACGUUUUUAAAUUGGUGUGUUUUUUUUUGUCGUGCGCUCAGCCAUCUUGUCUGGUUUGUUUAUAAACAAACUAGACAAGAUGGCUGAGUGCACGGAGCGCACCGCAAAUUCCUUCACCCGAGCCGCGAAGGAAAGUAGCAACUUUAACACCGGCUGCUUCCAAUAAUUCCGGAUUGGGACGUGUACGGAAAUUGAAUAGAGCCGCCUGCUUCCAAUAAUUCCGGAGGUGUUCGGGAAUAGAGUGGCAACCACUUACGCUAGGGAGGCAAUUGAACACCUAGACCUGGACUCAUCAACUCAAGGGCCAGGAUCCACGGCUGUGCUUCUUUUCGAAGGAAGGCAUGACACCACCAAAGCAACCAAGGAAGUCAUCAAUCCCCACCAACUGACGAGUUUCGUUUGUGGUUCGACACAUGGACGGAGCAUUUGUGUUUUGCUAAAUUUUGCAAAUUAUUGGGGAAUUUCCCUAAAGUUUCACGCGGCCACCAGUUUUCACUCUUCCACAGGCCUUAAGGGUAACCCACAUUAGAUCUGCUUGCGUUGCGUUGUCGUAAAUUUUAUAGUUAGACAAUAUAUUUAGCUGUCACUUUGCUGCAUCGCGCCAGAUCCGGAUCUAAUGUGGGUGGCCCUGUAGAUUUGGAAACUUGAUUAUGUAAACACUAGGCAUCUUUGUCUGGUAGUUCGUUCAAAAAUGAUACAACAAUCGUCAAGCUCGCUGUAACGUCACCUAGUGCCUCGUCACCUACAAAUUGGCGCCUAUGUCAGUGGUCUAAUAACUCUUAGCGCGCUAAUGGCAUAGUUCCCCUGCCGCAUAGAGAGUUGCCGCAAUGACAUUAGGUUAGCUAAGGUCAGUUAACUGACUGGUGGGAAACGGGAGCUUCAGCAUUGACAGUUAUGUACGCAUUUUUAUGAUGUUAUCUAACAACAAUGGUGUGUAGUGUUUACACGAUUAUGUUACUAAUUCUAAUGUGUUGUAAAUAUAAUUGAAAGCAUUUGAAAAGUAAGAUUCUAGUGGUUAUACUACUUAAAACAUAAGUAAACAUCUACAUUUUAAAACAUUCAAACAACGUUUACUUUAAACGUUUUGUACAUCUGAAAACAUCAGAGAACAACAAACAGGAAGUACAAUUGAAAACAUCCGAACAACGUUUAGUUCUAACGUUGUGUACAUCCGAAAACAUCCAAAAAACGUUUGGUUCUAGCAUCGGGAAACAUCUACAUAAGAAAACAUUAGAAUACAUUUACAUAUAAAAACAUCCGAACAACGUUUAGUUCUAACGUUUUUUACAUCCGAAAACAUCCAAAAACGUUUGGUUCUAACAUCAGGAAACUUCUACAUUAAAAAACAUCAGAAAACAUUUACAUAUAAAAACAUUUAAACAACGUUUAGUUCUAACGUUUUUUACAUCCGAGAACAUCCGAAAACGUUUGGUUCUAACAUCGGGAAACAUCUACAUUAGAAAACAUCAGAAAACGUUUACAUAUAAAAACAUCCGAACAACGUUUAGUUCUAACGUAAUGUACAUCAGAAAACAUCCUUAAAACGUUUGGUUCUAAUGUCAAGAGAUUGAAAUUUUUGACGUCAGACCGACAUUAGAAUGGCAAAAUUUUGUUCCAAAAUUUCUGAUGUAUACACCAUGUUACGUUGCUUAAAUACAACUAAAUCAUAAUGUUUUCUA